GAUGAACGCUAGCGGCAGGCCUAACACAUGCAAGUCGAGGGGUAACAUAGGAAAGCUUGCUUUUCUGAUGACGACCGGCGCACGGGUGCGUAACGCGUAUACAACCUACCUUUUAGCGGGGAAUAGCCCAGGGAAACUUGGAUUAAUGCCCCAUAGUAUAUAGACUUCUCCUGAAGUUUAUAUUUAAACAUUUAUGGCUAUUAGAUGGGUAUGCGUCCUAUUAGUUAGUUGGUAAGGUAACGGCUUACCAAGGCAGCGAUAGGUAGGGGUCCUGAGAGGGAGAUCCCCACACUGGUACUGAGACACGGACCAGACUCCUACGGGAGGCAGCAGUGAGGAAUAUUGGACAAUGGGCGAGAGCCUGAUCCAGCCAUGCCGCGUGCAGGAAGACUGCCCUAUGGGUUGUAAACUGCUUUUACAGAGGAAGAACCACCCCCACGUGUGGGGGUUUGACGGUACUCUGCGAAUAAGGAUCGGCUAACUCCGUG
rnacentral:rRNA from 1 species